rnacentral:rRNA from 1 species
GACGAACCGUGCAAACGUUGUUCGGAAUCACUGGGCUUAAAGGGCGCGUAGGCGGUCUGUUAAGUCGGAUGUGAAAACUCUGGGCUCAACCCAGAGCCUGCAUCCGAAACUGGCAGGCUAGAGUUCUGGAGGGGGUGGCGGAAUUCCUGGUGUAGCGGUGAAAUGCGUAGAUAUCAGGAGGAACACCGGUGGCGAAGGCGGCUACCUGGACAGAAACUGACGCUGAGGCGCGAAAGCUAGGGGAGCAAACAGG